rnacentral:rRNA from 1 species
UACGUAGGGUGCGAGCGUUAAUCGGAAUUACUGGGCGUAAAGGGUGCGCAGGCGGUUGAUUAAGUCAGAUGUGAAAUACCUGGGCUUAACCUGGGAAUGGCAUUUGAGACUGGUCGGCUAGAGUGUGUCAGAGGGGGGUAGAAUUCCACGUGUAGCAGUGAAAUGCGUAGAGAUGUGGAGGAAUACCGAUGGCGAAGGCAGCCCCCUGGGAUAACACUGACGCUCAGGCACGAAAGCGUGGGGAGCAAAC